GCGCGUUCAAACGGCCCUCCAGGCCGAAAGGGGGCGCCCCACGCGUAGGCUUCGGGCCUCUUAGGGCCGGGCCCAGGCCUGGGCCUGGCGGGGCCGCUCUGGGCCGGGCUAUGAGGGGCGCCCCCGAGUGGGGCCUGCGGCGGUGCUCCGGGGCUGAGCCCGAGGGGGCCGUGGGGAGGACCUGAGGGCGGCUGGGGGGGAGGGAACGAGAACGGGGUGGGGCGAAGGGGAGGAGGGAUGAGCAGGUGCGGACAGCGGGCCUGUUGGAGCAGGAAGGGGCGGGGGCGGCCGCGGCCCGGGGCGGGCAUGGAGGAGCGCGGAACGGUCUGAGCCGUGUGGGGCCGGUGGGUGCGGGGCGCUGCUGGGGGUGACGGGAGGAGGGGAGCAGCGGGGGGACACCGGACCGGGGGGAGUAGCAGGCCUUAAGGGUGAUUGGGGAAACGUGGGGGGGACGGCGGCCCUUGGGGGUGUGGGGACGGUCCGUGGAGCGAAGGGGGUUUCGGGCCCUCGGUUUGUUAUGUGCCCCGUUUGGAUGAGCCCCGGCCAGCAGGGACUCGGGAUGCUGUACUCCCAGCCCCAGUAUGCCCUCUGUCCCCUAUGGGACAGCGUUGUGUGGGGCAGCGAUGCUUGGGUGCUCCCUGGGCUGCUGGGCCGGGUGGGUCCUCGCUUUGCCUCUCCACAGCCCAGUGCUGGCCCUGCCAGCUGCAUUCAGGCACCCCGUCCUUCAGUCAGAGCAUUAGUGGGGCUGGCCGGGCAGGGGGUCCAGCUCUGCCCUCACCUCUGUGGCUGCAGCUGAAUCCCUAAAGCUUCCAUCCCGCGGUAAAUGAAUCCAGGCAGAGCAGCCAAACCCUGAGGUGGUCGCAUGGUUUGACAUCACCCCUCGCUGCUCCAUGGCAGCAGCACCGGGCACUGAGUGGGAUCCUGCCCUGUGCCCCUCAGCAGCAGCUCUUUGGGCUACAGCCUGAGGUCGCGCUGCAGGACGUGACCCUGUGUUGCCCUUGGUCCUGCUGAUAAUUGGCUUCAACGGGGAUUGUCUGCGAGGAGGAUUUGUUGUAGAGCCCGAGGUCCAUCAGCAUGCUCCAGGUACCACUGCCCCUGGAUCGUGAUGGGAUCCUAUUCCGGCUCCGUUUCACCACUCUGGCUGUUGGGACUGUGUUUUGCCCCUUGUUUGGUUUCCUUUUCUGCGUGAUUUGGUCUCUGCUCUUCCACUUCCAGGAGACAACAGCCACCCACUGCGG
rnacentral:lncRNA from 1 species